AACGCGUAGAAAUCUGCCUGGUAGUGGGGGAUAGCCCAGAGAAAUUUGGAUUAAUACCGCAUACGCCCUACGGGGGAAAGCAGGGGACCUUCGGGCCUUGCGCUAUCAGAUGAGUCUGCGUCGGAUUAGCUUGUUGGUGAGGUAAUGGCUCACCAAGGCGACGAUCCGCAGCUGGUCUGAGAGGAUGAUCAGCCACACUGGGACUGAGACACGGCCCAG
rnacentral:rRNA from 1 species